AGGAGUUGGAAAGAAUUUCGGUCAAGGAUGGACUCGCGGCCUAUCAGCUAGUUGGUGAGGUAAUGGCCCACCAAGGCGACGACGGGUAGCCGGACCUGAGAGGGUGACCGGCCACACUGGGACUGAGACACGGCCCAGACUCCUACGGGAGGCAGCAGUGGGGAAUAUUGCACAAUGGGCGCAAGCCUGAUGCAGCAACGCCGCGUGAGGGACGACGGCCUUCGGGUUGUAAACCUCUUUUAGUAGGGAAGAAGCGACGUGUUUUACACAGAGUGACGGUACCUGCAGAAAAAGCACCGGCUAACUACGUGCCAGCAGCCGCGGUAAUACGUAGGGUGCAAGCGUUAUCCGGAAUUAUUGGGCGUAAAGAGCUCGUAGGCGGUCUGUCGCGUCUGCUGUGAAAACUGGGGGCUCAACCCCCAGCCUGCAGUGGGUACGGGCAGACUAGAGUGCGGUAGGGGAGAUUGGAAUUCCUGGUGUAGCGGUGGAAUGCGCAGAUAUCAGGAGGAACACCGAUGGCGAAGGCAGAUCUCUGGGCCGUAACUGACGCUGAGGAGCGAAAGCAUGGGGAGCGAACAGGAUUAGAUACCCUGGUAGUCCAUGCCGUAAACGUUGGGAACUAGAUGUAGGGACCAUUCCACGGUUUCUGUGUCGCAGCUAACGCAUUAAGUUCCCCGCCUGGGGAGUACGGCCGCAAGGCUAAAACUCAAAGGAAUUGACGG
rnacentral:rRNA from 1 species